GAGUUUGAUUAUGGCUCAGGAUGAACGCUAGCUACAGGCUUAACACAUGCAAGUCGAGGGGCAGCAUGAAGUCAGCUUGCUGACUUUGAUGGCGACCGGCGCACGGGUGCGUAACGCGUAUCAAACCUGCCGCAUACUCGGGGAUAGCCUUGCGAAAGUAAGAUUAAUACCCGAUGUUAUUGUUUCCCCGCAUGGGGAGAUAAUCAAAGAUUUUAUCGGUAUGCGAUGGUGAUGCGUCUGAUUAGGUAGUAGGCGGGGUAACGGCCCACCUAGCCGACGAUCAGUAGGGGUUCUGAGAGGAAGGUCCCCCACACUGGAACUGAGACACGGUCCAGACUCCUACGGGAGGCAGCAGUGAGGAAUAUUGGUCAAUGGACGGAAGUCUGAACCAGCCAAGUAGCGUGCAGGAUGACGGCCCUANCGGGUUGUAAACUGCUUUUAGUUGGGAAUAACGGCGGGGACGCGUCCCCGAAAGGAAUNACCUC
rnacentral:rRNA from 1 species